rnacentral:tRNA from 1 species
GCGCCCAUAGCAUAGCUGGAUAAUGCAUUCGAUUCCGAUUCGAAAGACCGCAGGUUCGAAUCCUGUUGGGCGCGCCA